GAUAAAUUAUUGAAGGAAUUUAUCGAAGUAAUUUUAUUCGUAAUUUCAAUUAUUAAAUUUUGUCCAUUAAUGCCAAAACAGUGCAUGCUUUUUUCUGAGAGUACAGUUCAGAACUCGUAUUGCAAUUUUUAUUAAGUUAAUCCCUCACAAUUGUUGUGCAGCUCGAGAAUGAUUUACUCGUAGAGGUCAACGAACAUCCAAAUUUAUAUUCUAUGCCUACUGUUCCUACUGCGAUUCUCUGUUGCGCAUACGAUGCCGAGAACACGUAUUGUAACAAGAAAACCGUUAGAUCUUCGACUGUGGCCGACCAACCGAAUGGAAAGAGGGAAUCCUUGCAACCGGUGGUUGCACUUCGCUGCCAGCUAUCAUUUUAUGGUAGAAAAGUAUCUAUAAGAUUUAUGCCAAAUGCAUAAAUUAGAAAUUUUUCUGGAUGAGUAAUCACGUCAAUGGAACUUCUAAUACGAUCUCGAGAGGCUGCAAUCAGCAUUAAAAACGAUCUGGUAUAAUGGCGCAAGUUGCGACACUACGCGUAGGUGUCGAUGGAAGGCGCAAUGCACUUAGGUGUACGAACGAUGCGGCAUAUCUGUAAUUUCGUUUCCAAGCCAGAGAAGACGUGCACGGAGAUGCAAAUAAGAGCGCGAAUUGAGAUUGAGCGAAGAAAGUCAAACAAAGAAAGAAGAAGAAAAUAUUUCUUAAUUUCUAUGGAAAUAAAUCGAUGAUACUUUCAGAUCAUUCUCUGAAUCGAGCAACAGCUGGUUUAUAGAUGAACAGUUUUCCUGCAUCGAUUUCGCUUUCGACAUUCCUCCAACGAGCGACAUCCAUAAGUAAAGUAAAAUCUGUAAACAGAUAUGGAAGAAACCUGACGUCUCGACCUGGCAGAGACAUAGAACGAGAGCGAGAAAAAAAGAUAGGAAAAGCAGUGAAAAGAGGGAGAGGGGAGAAGGAACUGGGAGCAGAUGCAUGGAUCGGAAUGCGGCAUCGGCUGCCCAAGGAGAACCACUUCGCGCUGCGCCCUAGAUAUUCCAUAGCUAAGUAUCCGUCGGUUCCACGUAUGUUUUACGUGUACUGCGUGGCGUCCGCUCUUUCAUGCGUAUAUCGUUGUUCGAGCAAACAAUUAUCGGACACGCGCGCACACCCGGCGUCUCGCAUUUUUUAACCUCUCGGAGGUCGUCGUGUGACACGUGACGCGGAUAUAUUGGAAAUCUUUAUGCGAAUAUUCCUUAAUUCGUAUAUUAUGUUAUGUAAACGUUUAACAUUUUAUCCUGAAAAAUUUGAUGAAAUUUUUCAUUGCAAAUAAUUUUCUCCAGUGAUUUUCUCCAGUGACUUUUUAAUUCUUUCCCAUUCUUUCUUGAUUCAACGUGGAUACAUUGGAAAUCUCUAUGUGAAUAUUCUUUAAUUUCUUAAUUCGUAUAUCGCGUUAUAUAAACGUUUAACAUUUCAUCGUGAAAGCAGAGAUUCGACGAAAUUUUUCGCUGCAAAUGAUUUUCUUCAGCGUUUCGUCAUUUUUUAAAAAUUAUUAAUACAUUAAAAAUAUAUUUCAAAUAAAUUUAUUUUAAGUAAUUAAUUAUUAAAAUAUUUGAACGAUACUAGCUAUUAUGAGUUUGAUAUAUUUUUCGUACAACCUCGAUCUUUAUAGUUAUUAUGUUUCGAACAAUAAGUUAUUGAAGUAACAUAUCAUAAUUAUUAAAUUUUAGUUAUUGUUAAAAUCUUUUGCGAUGUUUCUCAUUUUCAAAUAUCUUAUCUACGAAGGAUAAAAAUUCUUACCUUUCCUUUUGCUUAUGCAUUACAUCACAAAUAUUAAAUAUAUCAAUCAUAGUUUUAUAAAUGUAUCUUAUAAUUUGACGAAAUUCAUGCGUAGAAAUCUCACUCAUAAAUUUAAUCUAGUGCACGCUUGAUCCCGAGACGAGUCGAUUUCUUCUUCCGCGAUCGGUUCGAAAAUAAGGCGGACUGGCUCGCGACCGGUAAAUCGGCUACCGAUACGCUUCGCGUGAGAUAAGAAAUGCACGAAGAAGUAUACGCGAGAAACGCAGGGUGAAAAUUGAAAGGAGGGGAAAACGCGGUUCCCCGUGCGUUUUGCAUACGUUGGAAAACGCGACUUGUUCGAGUUGCUCUUGUUCUGGUUAUCCUGCUUGCGUAUCCUCGCUUUCUCUCGAACGUGAUUCGAGACGUGUGUACUCGUGGUGGAAUGGUGUGCGCUUAACGACGAUCGCGUGCUGCAAUUAAAUUUGUGGCUCGAGCUGCGUUACUCGAGGAUGUUACUCGAUUUUCUGUCGUAAGAUGUCAUGAAGAUUUUUGCAUUUUUCGAUUUGAACGAUUGAAAUUAGUAUUGUAAUGUACUUCAAUGCCGAUAUAACGAUCAAAAAAGUGUAAAAGUAAUUUAGAAGGAUAUUAACGGUGUUGCUUUUUGCGAUGAAUUUUUUUUUUUUUUUAAUUAUUCCAGUGAACGUACAAGAAAUUAAUGUGUGAGUAGUAUAGUAUAAUGUAUAGUUUCAAAUACUUAUCUACGAAUGAUAAAAAUUCUUACUUUCCUUUCCCGCUUAUGCGUAUUACAUCAUAAUUAAAUAUUAAUUAUUAUUUUAUAGUUUUAUAAAUGUAUCUUAUAAUUUGUUCUCUGCGAAUCUUUUAAUUUUAUUUUUGAUUGGCAAAAUUUUAAUCGUGAAAUAUAAUAAUGUUCAAGAAAGGAAAAAGUGGGAAAAAUUUACUUUUAUAGGUAAAGAAAGAGAAAAACUAGUUUGCAACGAUGCUUGUCGUAUUCUCGGAAUCGAUUUCACAUAAUAGUUAUUUCUAACCUAAGUACGUGGGAUUAUUGCGAUAAUUCGUCCUCGAUUAAUCAAGACCGUUAUGUAUUUAAUACGUUACAUGGACUUGUAUAGUUACUUAAUGUAAUAAUCAUCUCAAAAAGGAUCAUGACCAUUAUUUCAAAAAGUUGUUCAACGACAGGAAACUUAUAUGGCGUUUCGUUGCUUAAGCAUAUUUCUAAUAAUUCAAUAGAAACAUUUUUAUGAUAAA